CACGUAGGGGCGCAAGCGUUUGUCCCGGGAAUUAUUGGGGCGUAAAGAGCUCGUAGGCGGUCUGUUGCGUCCGCUGUGAAAAUCCGGGGCUCAACCCCGGACUUGCAGUGGGUACGGGCAGGCUAGAGUGUGGUAGGGGAGACUGGAAUUCCUGGUGUAGCGGUGGAAUGCGCAGAUAUCAGGAGGAACACCGAUGGCGAAGGCAGGUCUCUGGGCCACUACUGACGCUGAGAAGCGAAAGCAUGGGGGAGCGAACAGG
rnacentral:rRNA from 1 species